GGGGCCGACAUGGCAACGACCAGAGCGAAAGACCCUCAAGGGGAACCUCUGGCACCUGGGUUCGAUUCCCAGCGGCUCCACUG
rnacentral:tmRNA from 1 species